rnacentral:rRNA from 1 species
AUUGAACGCUGGCGGCAUGCCUUACACAUGCAAGUCGAACGGCAGCGCGGGAGCAAUCCUGGCGGCGAGUGGCGAACGGGUGAGUAAUACAUCGGAACGUGCCCAAUCGUGGGGGAUAACGCAGCGAAAGCUGUGCUAAUACCGCAUACGAUCUACGGAUGAAAGCAGGGGAUCGCAAGACCUUGCGCGAAUGGAGCGGCCGAUGGCAGAUUGGGUAGUUGGUGAGGUAAAGGCUCACCAAGCCUUCGAUCUGUAGCUGGUCUGAGAGGACGACCAGCCACACUGGGACUGAGACACGGCCCAGACUCCUACGGGAGGUAGCAGUGGGGAAUUUUGGACAAUGGGCGAAAGCCUGAUCCAGCCAUGCCGCGUGCAGGAUGAAGGCCUUCGGGUUGUAAACUGCUUUUGUACGGAACGAAACGGUCUUUUCUAAUAAAGAAGGCUAAUGACGGUACCGUAAGAAUAAGCACCGGCUAACUACGUG